rnacentral:rRNA from 1 species
CAGUCGCCACGGUAAAACGAGGGGUGCAAGUGUUAUUCGGAUUGAUUGGGUGUAAAGGGUGUGCAGACGGCUUAUUAAGUCACUUGUUAAAUUCUUCGGCCUAACUGAAGGUCUGCAAGUGAUACUGAUGAGCUAGAGGGUGGAAGAGAGAAGUGGAAUUCUCGGAGUAGCGGUAAAAUGCGUAGAUCUCGAGUGGAACACCAAUGGCGAAGGCAGCUUCUUGGUCCAUUCCUGACGUUCAUACACGAAAGCGUGGGGAGCGAACAGGAUUAGAGACCCCUGUAGUCCCUGUCUCUUAUAC